UUUUAAAUUUAUGUAAGUUUAUUUGAUUCAAACAAAAUAACUUAAGAGGAGAAAGUUUAUGAAAAAGACACUGGGAUGUUUACUUUUAAUUAUGCUUUUAGUCGUAGCAGGUUGUUCUUUUGGUGGGAAUCAUAAAUUAUCAUCAAAGAAAUCAGAAGAAUCAAAACAAGAAACUGUAAAAAAAGAAUCGGAAGAAGAGAAAGACCCAGAUUUAGAGAAAUUUGAAGAAAUAGAGAAGAAAAUGAAAGGAAUUA
rnacentral:sRNA from 1 species